UUCCUUUCUCUUCUUCUUUCUGGUAACACGGAAAGUUAGUGCAAAAUACUUGGUCUCCUUGAGCCAAGGGGCACAAAGUCUGUUUCGUGCGGCUCAUUUGAAAGCUGCUUAACAGUAUUGAACACUCUGCACCAAAAGCCUUCGCUCCAAGGGCCGAAUCACUACAGCGAAGGAAACGGUGAACACCAAGGACUCCUUCCACACACGGACACUGGAGACUAUGAUCUCAGCCCUGGCUCCCAGCCCACAGGUUCCCUCAAGAAAUCACUCCCCCGAGGGCUUGCUAUCUGGAAGCUUCUGCUGGCUCUCUGACUCGGGGCUGUGCGGCCCAGGACGGUGUCCUUCCCUCAGGAACCCAAGGCAGAGACUCAGGGUCUUCUCAGAGCCCUUCCCUAUGUUUCUCUCUCACUCCCUCACAUGCCUGGUCAGUGUGUUGGUGCUGAGGAGGCUGCUGGUAUUUCCCUUAGUGUUGUCAUGUGGAUUUGGCUAUUUCCGAUUACUGUGAUAGUUGUCAAUUUGGGCAGACCUGGCCCGGGUUGGGCCCCAUCAGGAUGACAACAGUAAGGCUGGAGAAGGGUACCGCAGGCUGGGAACUACUUCUCCAGGGCUCACGGUCCCCCAGCUGAGGAAAGGGGUGGGUCGAGUUGCCCACGUGGAAUCCAGGAGAGGGGACGAGGGCACCAGGAAGAGUAGAAUCCGGCCGGGGGGUCAGAGUGGGGAAAGCAAGAGGAGGAGAAGGGAGGGAGCAUAGAUAGUGCAGAGGCAGAUGGCGGCCACACCAGGGGUGUGAGGCCAUUCAAGAGGGGACCCGCAUUUGAACCUCGUGGUUUCUGAACAGACGUGCUUCCGGGACAGCAGCCUGGAAAAAGAGUGGCCAUGCAGGGUGAGGGCAAGGGUGGGGGACAGGGUGGAGACAGGGCUUUUGCAGAGUGACGGCCAGGCUCUUCCAGUGCCCAGCUCUGACCAGGGUGAGACGUGGGCAGCUGGCCAUUCAACUUGGCCUUCCCUUGGCAGUGGCAGCAGUGCCAGGCCAGGCUGCAGAGAGAGCCACAUGUCACCCACAGCACUCCAGGGUCUCCUAGAGCCUAGAAAACAAGCCAGCUAGUCUGUCCUGAAGCUGGGGGUGUCACCAAGGCAGGGAGCCAAUCAGAGAGAUGUGGUCCCAGGGAGUGGCUGAUUGGUUGUCUGUGGGCAGGAAUGAGAGGCGGAGACAUGAGAAGGCCCAGUGUGGGGGGUGAGGAAGGAGUGCGGGUUGGAUGUUCCAGAAUCCAGCUCUGAGAUACCAUGAAGAAGGGAGAGGGAUGGGAGCCCGGGUCCUACGUAAGUCGGGUGGGCUCCAGGUGGCGGGUACCUCGCAGGGCACCAGAGCUUUCCACGCAGACUUUUCCGACUUCAUACUUCAAAGGGCCAUGAUAGCAUUAUGAUUCAGGCAGGUUCCUGGCCAGCAGCUCGUGAAGUUGUUAUUUUUCCACGAAAGAUUUGUUAGAAGUGAAACCAGCCAGUUUUCAAAAACUGUUCAUUCCACCGCCACGGAUAUAUUUGUCCCAAUGGAAAGCCUUUUCUCCAUCGGAAGCCCGUGGCACACCGCUCCUGCUGCGGCCUGCCAAGGGGUGGAGAGUGUGCUGGAGACCACCGGGCAGGGCUGCCACCUGACCCAAAAGGCUUAUCGGGAUGGCUGCCCUGGUAUUUGGUUCCCAGGUGACCCAGGUGCUGUUUUUGGCCCAUAGGAGGCCAGUAUUUACCUGCUAGGAGUCGCUUGGUGAUGCUGUAGAACCUCAUCUUUGUAGGCUGCAGGUCUCCAGAUGAGGCUCCAUAGGCCUGCAAGUCCCACACAGCAGCGGGGGACUGUGGUCGAAAUGGCAACUUCUGCCCCCUACCCUCGUGGUGGUCACUGGGUUGUCUCUGUGUCUCCCCUUUGGGUUUCAUCCCCACCAGCCAACAUUACUUCCCCCAAGCUCACUUCCCCACCUGUGUCCUCCGGGAGGCCAGGCUGCCCUGCUCCUGUUUGGGAUAGCUUUCCUCCACCUCAAGUAAGGAAAGGUAUCUCGAAACAACAAGGUGGACACUGCUUCUGGGUCCAGCUUCCCUUCCCGGACAGGAAGGUCUGCCAUCCCCUGGGCUCUUCAGCCCAGAAUUUUGGCCUUUGACAGCCCUCCCUCCUGUUGAGUCAACUCCUUGUGGGCUGCAGUCCCUCAGCACCUGAGGCCCCGUUGACACCUCUUCCAUCCCAUUGCCUGGGAUCUUUCCACCCUGAGACCUUUCCCAUCCUCUGGGUCCCAAUCUCAGACCCUGAGCCCAAGAGGAGAUACAUGGAAUCCACUACACAACCAGGCAACAGGGCUACAAUGCCUUUUGUAAUCAUUCUGUUUAUUUGCUCACAUACAGGCCAGCCUUCUCAGGACAGCGGCUGCAAUGGGCCAAACAGGAGGAAAUCCAAGAGCGUAGGACACAUUUUCCAGACAGUGGCUGAUAUCAUGCCAGGAAAAUCACCAUCACCCAGCAGCACAUGGUCCUUUAACCACACUCGAUCCCUUCUGAGUCCUUGAAACACAAUCACAUCUAUUGGUUUCUGAAACAUCCUCUUUGUAAAAGUAUAUGGUAUGCACACAGUGUUUGCUUCCUGUUGACUUAUGCAGUACAAGUAUAAUUUGUCACGUGGGUAUAUCAGGUAUCGGUAAAGUCAAGGCUUCUGGCGGAUCCAUUACCUCAAUAACAUAUGUUGUAGCCAUUAAGUGAUUUCUCCUCUUUCACCCUUUCACACUCCCCACCCUUCCAAGUUUUCAGUGUCUGUCGUUCCACACUCUAUGUCCAUACCUAGACAUUAUUUAGCUCCCAUUCAGGAGAGAGGGAGAGAACGUGUGGUGUUGCUUCUCAGUUUCUGGGUUGUUUCACUCCCGACCGUGGACUCCAGAUCCAUCCAAGUUGCUGUGAAAGACAUGACGUCACUGUUUUCCUAUGGCCAAAGAGUAUUGCACUGGGUAUAUAUGCCACCUUUUUUUCCCAAUUAUCCACUGAGGGACAUUUAGGUCCACUCUGCUCUGAGCCUUAUUUUUGUAGACAGUCACACACAGGAGUCCAGUUUUAUUCUUUGCACAUGGAAAUCAAAUUAUUCCAGCAUCAUGAUUUCAAAAGGUUGACUUUUUGCCCAGUGUAUGUUCUUAUUGACUUUGUCCAAGAUCAGUUGGCUGUAGAUAUGUGGCUUUAUUUCUGAGUUCUCUAUUCUGUUCCAUCAGUCUUCAUGUCUACUUUUCAACCAGUACAACGAUGUUGUCACCAUUAUUGCCUUGUAGGAUAGGCAUGUCAUUUUUCAAAGACAGGUGGACCAUCAGGUCAGGUAUUACUGGCAACCCUUUCUUCAGGCACCAGAGAAGUAUCUUCUUCAACAAAAGAAAUGUAAACAUCUCCUUGAAUGAAGAGUUCUGCCCGUUUCCUGGACAUGUCAUGAAUUCCUGUCCUAGAUACAUGCUUCCCAUGUACAGGACACAUGAAGCCACGACAUCCAUCAUCAAUUCCAUGGCUCUGUCUUUUAGGAUCGAAAUCAAGGAAUCCUUGCACAACAUACUGAGUGCACCUCGUGGCCGCAGUGGCCUUGAGGAGUCCUCACACAGGAGAGUCAUCCUUUUAUUGAACUUGCAUUGGUGAAGUACACUCAUCCCACCCUCACACCCCAGGCCAGCAGGAGCUAGGCCAAUCAGCUUGUGCCUGAGGGGGAAGCCCCACCCAGUUUUAAUGUUACACUUUGACUAAGCUCUGAUCAGACACAACGUAUCAAAACAAUCACAAUUUUUUGCUCUUAUUAGGUGGAGGCACGUGGAAUUGAACCGUUGAAUUUUACGCUCACAUUGUUGGUGUUUUGAGCCCUCCGUUUUUCUUGCAACAAAGAACGAGAUAUGUUGCUGUAUAACAAAGUGAACAAAGCCCAAGGUUCAACUCAGCAUCUGAGAAAAUCAUUUUAAAAAAAAGAAAGAAAAAAAAAACCCCAGUAAACCAGAAAAGCACUAUUUAACUGGUUAAAUCAUUUGGCUCUCCAACGUUGACUUGUUGCAGGUUUCUUGCUUUGGGAAGCAAGAAGGAUAUAUGUUCUUUUUACAGAGACCAAGAAAAAGUAGUCAGUCUGCCUGUCCUGAGAACAAACUGCAAAACCAGGAAGCUGAGAGAAGGUUAAAAGGGUAACCAGCAUCGUUGAUGUUUGAGUAAUUCGUUUUUCUUGCAAUCAAGAUCGAGAUGUGUUUUGGUUUUUGUUGUUACUUACAAAGGCAUCCAAGCUUAGAAGUCAGCAAUGCCUCUGAGGAAAUGUUGAAGAAAAUGGUAAAAAGCAGGCAGAUAACAUGAUUUCAUUAGUGAAAUCUUCUCGAUUUUCUGUGUCGACUUGGUGCGUGGUUUCUGUUUGGUGUAGCAAGAAGGAGAUAGGGUCUUUUUGUAGAGAUAGAGUAAAAAAUUCAGCCUGCCUCUCCUGAGAUGACCUAAAAAACAAGGAAGCUGAGAGAAGUUUAAACCAGUAAACUGCACUGUUGAUGUGCUGAGUACUUAAUUUUUCUUACAGCAAAGAUCGAGAUACGUUGGGAUUUUCUUGUUGAGAAAAGCAACGUAGCUGCAAAGUCAGCAAUGCCUCUGAGGAAACCGUCCACACAACAGCGAAGCAGAGAAAUACGAUUUCACUAGUUGAAUCUUUUAGAUUUUGUGUGUUGACUUUUUUCGUGUUUCUCCUUCUGGGUACCAGGAAGGAGAUAGGGUCAUUUACAGAGAGCAACAGUAAAAGCCAGUCUUCUGCCUCUUCUGAGACCAACAUAAAUGAAGAAGCUGAGAAAAUGCUACAUGGGUAGCCUGGACUAUUGAUGCUUUGGGAACUCAGUUUUUCUGGCAGCGAAAAUCGAGCUAUGUUGUGAAUUCAGUCCUUUCACUGAGGAAAGCAUCCAAAACGUGGUAAAGCACAGGAAGACGAUUUAACUGGUUACGUCUUUUAGGUCUCCUGUGUCGACUUGCUGUGUGUUUCUUGUUUCGGGCAGCAAGAAGCGCAUACGAUCUUUUCACAGACAGAAAGAAAAAAAGUCGUUCUGCUGCUCGUGAAAUGAAACUUAAAAACAAGGAAGCUGAGAGAAGCUUAAACCGGUAGUACCCUGCAUUGCUGAUGUGCCGAGUACUUCAUUUUUCUCACAGCAAAGAUCGAGAUAUGUUGGGUUUUUCUUGUUGAGAAAAGCAGGAAAUCUGGUAAGUCAGAAAUGCCCCUUAGGAAACUGUCAAGAACACAAUUUAACUGUUUCAAUCUUUUAGAUUUCCUGUGUUGACUUAUUCCAUGUGUCUUGGUUGGCAGCAAGAAGGAGAUAUGUUGUUUUUAGAGAGACAAAGAAGAAAAGUCGGUCUGCCUCUCCGAAGACCGACAUAAAAUGAAGAAGGUUAGAGAAUGUUAAACGGGCAACCUGCACGGUUGAUGUUUUGAGUACUCGUUUUUUUUGCAGCAAAGCUCAAGAUAUGUUGAUUUAUUUUUCUAUUUGCAAAAUCAAGAAAUCUGAGAAGUCUUCCCUGUCACUGAGGAAACCGUGCAGAAUUCGGAACAAGGACAUAUGGUCUCACUAUAGACACAAAGAAGAAAAGUCAGUCUUUCUCCCCUGAGAGGCACAUUCAACGGAGAAGCUGAGAGAAGGUUAGUAGGUAACCUGCAUUGUCGCUGUGUUGAGUACUUCAUGUUUCUUGAGGCAAAGAUUGAGAUAUGGUGUUGUUGUUGUCAUUUUUUUUUCAAUAUUGAAAAGCAACAAAGCUGACAAGUCAGCAAUGCUUCUGAAGAAACCAUCAAAAAAACAGUAAAGCAGAGAAAUCACAAUUGAACUGGUUAAAUCUUUUAGAUUUCCUGUGUGUGUUGUAUGUUUCCUGUUUAGAACAGCAAGAACGAGAUAUAUUCUUUUUACAGAGACAAAGAAACAAAGUCGGUCUGCCUCUCCUGAGUCCAGCCUAAAAUGAAGAAGCUGAGAGAAUGUUAAACGGGUAACCUGCACGGGUGAUGUUUUGAGACUACGUUUUUCUUGUGGCAAAGAUCGAGAUAUGAUUCUUGUUCUUUUGCUUGUUUGUUUCAGAGAAGCAAGACGGAAGCAAAGUCGGCCGCGUCGCCCAAGCGACAUAUGCUCUUGUUCUGCAACAGAGACAGGAUCUCAGCCUUGCCUAGGCUGGAAACAACACGAAAAUGAUGAAGCCCUGACACGGUUUAAGCCACGAAAGUAUUUCGACCUGCACUUCUCUGUCACCAGGUCCUUGUUUUGAUCAGGGUGGUUAGGGCAGUUUUGACUGUGUGUUAAGCAGUGCCCGCUGGUUCCCGGUCUCAGAACUGGCUGGAUAAUUAACUGACGUCAUCUUCUUCACUUCCACCUUCUUCUCCACUAACUCCAACUUUUAGAUAUAACUUGAUUGCUCUACCAAUUACAAACUGAAGAAUCUCUACAUCAGCCUGUGACCUAUAUGCCCUUGAAAAUAUUUUUCCUUUCCGGGCCAAAGCAAUGUACAUGUUUCAUACAGACAUUCGUGCCUUUGGCUACAAGUGCUGCCUCCUGAAAAUAAAUGAGACCAGACAAUAAUCCAACUACCUCCAGACCACUUACUCAAGGCUUCUUGCGUUUGUGUUUUCCCUGGGCCACCGUCACUCCCACUGAAUGAAAAUAAACCUCUUGAAAAUAUUUGA